CGUGCGAAACAUUCGAAACGUUCUAACAAGCAAUUCAGAUUUUGCCUGUUGGCGCUUUUUUUCCCGCAGUAACUAAGCCCCCGCCGAAGCAAACUAAUGUAACUACAAAGAAAAUGGCCCGCAGUAACUUCUUUCCCGGUCUUCAAUCUCUUGGCAAGAACGAAUGUGGACAGAAGCGGGCGCAGGCCGCAGACACCACCGUGUUGUUACACCACGCACGCUGACCCUCAUGUAGAGCGGAAAAGAGGGGUUCGAGCAUCGGGCGCCGCGGCCAACAUCUGCCGCGGACGGGUCGGGGAGGCAGGGCCAAGACCGAAAGACGCAAAAGCGCUGACGAUGCACGCUCCCCUUCGAGCGAGCCUCACUUUCACACUUUCUUCCUUCUCACCUAUUUUAUUUUCCUUUCGCGUUCUCUGCUUACUUGUUUUAUUGCGAUUUAUUUUCACACCUCUCCUGGCACGAUGACUGCGUCCCAUUCCAGUUUCUUUGUCGACAUCCACAACACAUCCUGUUCCCACGCAGGCAAGGCCAUGUAGGUUACGCGCUGCAACAACGCUAGCGCCAUCUCGUGAAGGAUGGUCGAACUGAGUAUGCUAUCCUUCCAGCCUCCGACAAAUGAACUUGAGCUCUCAGCGAACUUCGAAAACGAGAUUAGUGGACUCACUGCUGCGAAGACAAGUAUACCUUGGGCCAUCUCUUAUUAAUAAAGUUCGUUUGUCUUGUCCUCUCUUAGCUCAUUAGGCCGCACUUUUCCUUAGAACGAUUUGGUUCUAAUUUCAUUCCUCCUAAGGCUCCCAGUUUAAGGAAUCAAUUCAACGGCGCAGAAAAGCUGUGUCUUCCGGUGUCUGUGUUCUUUCUUUACCUUUGUUUUCUUUUCUUUUCUUUCAGUCUCUACGUAAGCCAAUCUAUUCCUAUAUCUUUUGCCCGUUUCUUCAUCGGCGUUGCCACACUGUUAUUAUGAGCUAAGCGCUUUCUUAUUGUGAUGCGUCUGGCAUAAAUUUCUUUGCACUGGUAUUGUAGAGAGAGAUAAGCUACGGGAUCAGCAAAAGCGUAGAGUUUUAUGAAAAUCAUUGCUAGAGAAGGUGCCGAGGUGAACCGUGUGGCUGGACCGGGAGGCGCGAAGAAAGUGCACGGCAGUAGUUGUCGAAAGACGGAAAUGGGGGAGGUGGUCGUACGCGAAAAAUACUCGAGCAGUUGAAAAAAUGACCGUUUAUUAACAGGUAAUCCCCAUAGUUCUUUUCUCUCUCUCCAAUCUCUCUUCUCGUUGCUGCUCUUUUCUUUUUUUUUCUUUUUUGGCACAUAAUGAAAGGAUUGAGGCGCCUGAGUUGUUUACUUAGGUAACUGUCCCGCCUU